CUAGCCCAUAAUUUUUUACACGCCUCCCCUCCCUCAUUCUCUCCAAAAAUCCUCCAUUCAUCCUCGUUCUUGCUUCAAUUGGAGUGGAAACUUCAAGAUUUACUGAAGAACCGCCUCAAUCUUUGUUUCUACCGUUUGCUUUAAUCAAGAAAGGGUUAUUAUGUGUACGUGAGCACGAGGAACGAUGGUUGCCUUAAGUUGGAUAUUAAAUUGUUUAAGCAAACGAGGUUGAGCGAGAUGUUGCGGUGGAUGUUGAGUUGGCCUAGG